rnacentral:snRNA from 13 species
AAAGUUACCUCAGAGAACUUUCAAGGCCUAGGUUGGUGGCUUUCAUUGCACUGUUGCACCUGCAUAAGGUUUCCCCAAGUGGGAGAGCCUACGUCAUAAUUUGUGGCAGUUAGGGCCUGCGUUUGCGCUACCCAUU